CAUGGUUCCACUCUGUAUACUGAAACAUGGUUUUAUUUGAACAUAAGGCCAGACCAAUUUUAUUUCUUGUUUUACACAUUUUUGGCCUCAGAAAACCUAAACGCAGGAGGG